GAUGAAGAACGUAGUGAAAUGCGAUACGUAAUGUGAAUUGCAGAUUUCAGUGAAUCAUCGAAUCUUUGAACGCACAUUGCGCCCGCCAGUAUUCUGGCGGGCAUGCCUGUCUGAGCGUCAUUUCAACCCUCAUGCCCCUAGGGCGUGGUGUUGGGGAUCGGCCAAAGCCCGCGAGGGACGGCCGGCCCCUAAAUCUAGUGGCGGACCCGUCGUGGCCUCCUCUGCGAAGUAGUGAUAUUCCGCAUCGGAGAGCGACGAGCCCCUGCCGUUAAACCCCCAACUUUCCAAGGUUGACCUCAGAUCAGGUAGGAAUACCCGCUGAACUUAAGCAUAUCAAUAAGCGGAGGA
rnacentral:misc_RNA from 1 species